rnacentral:rRNA from 1 species
AUUGAACGCUGGCGGCAUGCCUUAACACAUGCAAGUCGAACGAGAACGGAUUAUAGCUUGCUAUAAUUGUCAGCUAAGUGGCGCACGGGUGAGUAAUGUAUAGGUAAUAUGCCUCUUACUAAGGGAUAACAAAUGGAAACGUUUGCUAAUACCUUAUACUCCUUAUUAACAUAAGUUAAUAAGGGAAAGAUUUAUUGGUAAGAGAUUAGCCUGUAUUGUAUCAGUUAGUUGGUGGGGUAAUGGCUUACCAAGACUAUGACACAUAACUGGUUUGAGAGGAUGAUCAGUCACACUGGAACUGAGACACGGUCCAGACUCCUACGGGAGGCAGCAGUGGGGAAUAUUGCACAAUGGACGAAGGUCUGAUGCAGCAACGCCGCGUGGAGGAUGACACAUUUCGGUGCGUAAACUCCUUUUAUAUGAGAAGAUAAUGACGGUAUUAUAUGAAUAAGCACCGGCUAACUCCGUGCCAGCCGCCGCCGUAA